AACGAACGCUGGCGGCAUGCCUAACACAUGCAAGUCGAACGAGACCUUCGGGUCUAGUGGCGCACGGGUGCGUAACGCGUGGGAACCUGCCCUUAGGUUCGGAAUAACUCCCCGAAAGGGGUGCUAAUACCGGAUAAUGUCUUCGGACCAAAGAUUUAUCGCCUUUGGAUGGGCCCGCGUUGGAUUAGCUAGUUGGUAGGGUAAAAGCCUACCAAGGCGACGAUCCAUAGCUGGUCUGAGAGGAUGAUCAGCCACACUGGGACUGAGACACGGCCCAGACCCCUAGGGGGGGAGGAGGGGGGAAAUAUUGGAAAAGGGCGGAAGGCUUGACCCAGAAAGGCCGGGGGAGUAAGAAGGGCUUUGGGGUUGAAAAGUUUUUUUCCCGGGGAUGAAAAUAACAGUACGGGGAAAAAAAGCCCCGGCUACCCCCGUG
rnacentral:rRNA from 1 species